UGGGGAAUAUUUCACAAUGGGGGAAACCCUGAUGCAGCGACGCCGCGUGAGCGAUGAAGGCUUUCGAGUCGUAAAGCUCUGUCCUAUGGGAAGAUAAUGACGGUACCAUAGAAGAAAGCCCCGGCUAAUUACGUGCCAGCAGCCGCGGUAAUACGUAAGGGGCGAGCGUUGUCCGGAAUUAUUGGGCGUAAAGAGUGCGUAGGCGGCAAAUUAAGUCAGAUGUGAAAACUAAGGGCUCAACCCAUAGAUUGCAUCUGAAACUGAUAUGCUUGAGUCAAGGAGAGGAAAGUGGAAUUCCUAGUGUAGCGGUGGAAUGCGUAGAUAUUAGGAGGAAUACCGGUGGCGAAGGCGACUUUCUGGACUUGAACUGACGCGGAGGCACGAAAGCGUGGGGAGCAAACAGG
rnacentral:rRNA from 1 species